rnacentral:lncRNA from 12 species
CCGUGUAACUCAGUAACUGACUUGUUCUGAUGUUGUAACUCAAUAGAAGUGAUUUGGAAGGAAGCAUGGUGUAUGAGAUGGUGUCUGUUCUUUUGUGCCAGCUCUGUAUGAUGUUUGUAAGACCAUGUUUGUAAGACAUGAAUAAAUUGCUGCUUUUGCCCAACCCAUUUCAACUCAAACUUUCUGCCAAUAGACUCUGUAAUAAGAAUCUUAUUUCUUUCUAAGCUUUAAGUUUCCUGAAUGGAUCUCCUGGCAUAGCAUAGGUAUCAUUAGUGAUUCAGCACCAAGGUCUUCCAUUUAUCUUAAUUUCUUUAAUCUUCACAAUAAUCAUUGGAGGCAAUUAUCAUUAUUCCUAUGAUACAAAAGCAAAACUCGAGACUUGAGAAGCUUAGGCAAUUGACUCAAGUGCAUGUGGAUAGGAAAUAGAAGGAUUUCUUGGCUGACUAUGCUCUUCCCUCCUGGAGAAGUCCUCAUCAACUGGAUCCCCUAGACCCUUAAAGGGAAUAAUGCCCAUAUUCUUUGAUUUUUCUGUUGUUGUCUUUUUAAGAUUUUAAUUUUUACUUAAGGACAGUUAUGAGUGGGGUAGGGGGAGGUAGAGGGAAAGGAACACUUAGACUCCCCUAGGACCCUGAGAUCAUGACCUCAGUCCAAGUCAGAUGCUUAUCACCCAGGCACCCCAAGACUUUUCCUUUCUACAAUAUGUUCACUUUUCCCUAUUGUACUUACUUUUUCAGUAUUUUCUAGCACUAUUCUUUACUCUUCUUUUUUUCUUUUGUGAUCUUAUUUUAGUCUCUUUCAUUACCUAUUAUAUAUUAUUGCUUUUUAUUUUCUUUUUCAUUUUUCCCGUAUCCUUGCACCAGAUAGAUCAGGUUAGAAAAAUGAUGUGGAAAUCUUAUUUCUCCUUAGAAAGAGAGGGAAAAACUCUCAGGACAUCCACAGUGUUCCCAUCAAACACCAGUAAAGGCGAAUGGGAACUAUGGUACCUGCCACUGGAGGAUCAGCCACUGUUUAUAACACCAGUCUAUGCAGAGGAGUUCUAUGUUAACACACUUGGAAAAACAGCCUUUGGUUUCUCCCUAGCUGCUCCUUCAUUGCCCCCACCCAGACAUGACAGAUGA